rnacentral:misc_RNA from 1 species
CGCACAUUGCGCCCCUUGGUAUUCCGGGGGGCAUGCCCGUUCGAGCGUCAUUUCACCAAUCAAGCCUGGCUUGGUAUUGGACCCGGGGGCGACCCGGGUCUCAAAGUCGUCGGCUGGAAAGCUCUGAUCUCAGCGUCGUGGUUAAUCAAACUCGCUGGCGAGACGGGAGUUCCACGCCGUUAAACCUCAUUCAAAGGUUGACCUCGGAUCGGGUAGGAAUACCCGCUGAACUUAA